rnacentral:rRNA from 1 species
GACGAACGCUGGCGGCGCGCCUAACACAUGCAAGUCGAACGAGCGAGAGAGAGCUUGCUUUCUCAAGCGAGUGGCGAACGGGUGAGUAACGCGUGAGGAACCUGCCUCAAAGAGGGGGACAACAGUUGGAAACGACUGCUAAUACCGCAUAAGCCCACAGGUCGGCAUCGACCAGAGGGAAAAGGAGCAAUCCGCUUUGAGAUGGCCUCGCGUCCGAUUAGCUAGUUGGUGAGGUAACGGCCCACCAAGGCAACGAUCGGUAGCCGGACUGAGAGGUUGAACGGCCACAUUGGGACUUAGACACGGCCCAGACUCCUACGGGAGGCAGCAGUGGGGAAUAUUGCACAAUGGGGGAAACCCUGAUGCAGCGACGCCGCGUGGAGGAAGAAGGUCUUCGGAUUGUAAACUCCUGUUGUUGAGGAAGAUAAUGACGGUACUCAACAAGGAAGUGACGGCUAACUACGUG